rnacentral:tRNA from 1 species
GGGUGGUUAGCUCAGUUGGAUAGAGUAGGUGCCUACGAAGCACCAGGUCAUAGGUUCGAGUCCUGUACCACCCUCCA